CCUACGUGAGGCAGCAGUGGGGAAUAUUGCACAAUGGGGGAAACCCUGACGCAGCGACGCCGCGUGAGUGAAGAAGAAAUUCGGUAUGUAAAGUUCUAUUAGCAGGGAAGAAAAUGAUGGUACUUGAGUAAGAAGCCCCGGCUAACUCCGUGCCAGCAGCCGCGGUAAUACGGAGGGGGCAAGAGUCAUCCGGAUUUACUGUGUGUAAAGGGAGCGUAGACGGCAAUGCAAGUCUGGAGUGAAAGCAGGGGGCUCAACCCCCAGACUGCACGGGAAACUGUACGGCUGGAGUGCAGGAGAGGUAAUUGGAAUUCCUGGUGUAGCGGUGAAAUGCGUAGAUAUUAGGAGGAACACCAGUGGCGAAGGCGGCUUACUGGACUGUAACUGACGUUGAGGCUCGAAAGCGUGGGGAGCAAACAGGAUUAGAUACCCGAGUAGUC
rnacentral:rRNA from 1 species